GUCCCCCUCUCUCUCUCGCGCCCUGCAACCCUAACCCUAACCCUACAAAUCGGAAUAACAAAUCCCACCCAGAUGAACCUCCCAACCACCAACAGAGGGGGAAGAAAAGAAGCAUCGGAGUGCAGCAACUGCGGGUGGACCCACAAGGGAAAGAAAGGGUGGGGCUGGUGGGCCCUCCUCCUCCACCAUGUCCGCCUGCGCGGUAUCGACCGGGUGCUCUGCACCUCCUGCGUCCUCCGCCUCCACCCCUCCUCCUUCUGCCCGCUCUGCUUCGUAUACUUCGAUAAUCCCCAUUCUCCCCCUCCCAUUCCAAGCAAUCCCAACACCGUCCCCUGCUCCAAGUGCUCCUCUCUCGCCCACUCGCGCUGCCUCCCCACCGCCACCAAGCCAUCAGUCUCCUACAUCUGCCCUCCCUGCUCCAACCCCACCUUCUCCUUCUUCGACCUCGACGAAAAUCAGCGUUUUAUGGACUUGAAGCUGUCCUCGGUGCUGCUCUGCGCGGCCAGGAUCGCGUCGGCGUCGAUGAAUAGGGCGGUGAUCGUGGCACGCGCCGACGCCGAUCGGAAGGUCAGGGAGGCCUUAAUCGCAAAGAAGCGCGCCCAUGAGGCGCUGGAGCACUUGGCCGCCAUGGUGGAGGCCAGAGAGAAAAACAGCAGGAGGAAGAUUGGGAACGAGAAUGGCAAUGGGAAUAGCAAUGGCGAUAGCAAUGUAAAGAUGAAAGUGGAGGUGGUCGAGUCAAUGCAAAGUAAUGGGAAUGAGAGGGUGGAAACCAAGCCAAAUAUUGCCACCAAGAUUGAAGUAUGAAAUUGGGGGCUCAAGGAAUUGGAAUUUCGUCACUCUUUCUGGGAAUAUGAUUUUUCAGGGGAGUUAGAUUCGUCUGCCACAAUAACGCUGCCGUGGAUCACAAAACCAGUGUUUUCACGCUUAUCGCUCCUGCCCUGCAAAGUUAUGAUGUUUGCCACCGGCGUAGAUGGCUGCGUCACGACGAUUUUGGAGCGUUGGAUUACAAGUGCAGCGUCACCUUUGAUGAUGUUUGUGACGCCAUAGAUUUCACACUCCUUGAAGAACUGUCGAUGCGCUAAUGCGUAUAUGUUUGAUGUUGUACCAUUUAUUCUGCAGUUGUAGAAGGCUGCUUUAUCAGACUGGAUUUUUAACGCCGCUAUGGAAUUUCCACUGCUUUUAUCUGGGACUUUGAUUCCAAUAUUCGCGCAGAUAAAUUCAUUGCCAAUUGCCGCUGCAACAAGAUAGGGAAAUUCAGUGUGUCAAACAAUGAGGGGAAAAAAAAUGGAGCUUCUAUGUAUGGGUUUAUCUUUAGACACAUGUUCUGGUUCUUUUCAAAUUCUCUUUCAUAUAUACUACUUGCUCGCAUUGAUAA